AGUGAACGCUGGCGGUAGGCCUAACACAUGCAAGUCGAACGGCAGCACAGUAAGAGCUUGCUCUUACGGGUGGCGAGUGGCGGACGGGUGAGGAAUACAUCGUAAUCUACUUUUUCGUGUGGGAUAACGAAGGUAAACUUACGCUAAUACCGCAUACGACCUACGGGUGAAAGCAGUGGAUCUUCGCACCUUGCGCGGUUGAAUGAGCCGAUGUCGGAUUAGCUAGUUGGGGGGGUAAAGGCCCACCAAGGCGACGAUCCGUAGCUGGUCUGAGAGGAUGGUAGGCGACACUAGAGGUGGACCACGGACCAGACUCCUAAGGGACGGAGCAGAGGGCAACAGUAGACAAUGGGAGGAAACCUUGUCCAACGAUACCGCGUGGGAGGAGACGGCCUUCGGGUUGUAAAGCCCAUCUGUUGGGAAAGAAAAGCAGCAGGCUAAUACCAAGCUGUUCUGACGGUACCCAAAGAAUAAGCACCGGCUAACUACGUG
rnacentral:rRNA from 1 species